UCGUCCAUCCACACGUUGAACACACAAAUUCCAAUGGCUUGUCCAUCAAUAGUACACUACUUAUGAUUGAAUCCAUUAUAAUUAUAAAAGAAUUAAUCUACGGAGAAGCCACUGUUUCGGUGCAUCCAUUGCACACAUGAUGUGGCCUAGUAAAUUGACCAAUUUGCCCCUACAGCUGUGCGUUCCCACUCAGAUUUCAUUUCACCCAUUUUCUAUACGAAACAAAGCUCCAUCUGCACUCUCCCCCCACCCCCUCUUCUCGCCUAUCCUCUUCCCCACCCCCACCGCGGCACCUAGCCCUCAAUCCACCGAAUCUCUUAACAGCUUCAUCUUCUGAUUUCCCACCUUGUCUGUGUUCUCCUCUCUGCCCAGAAUCUCUUCACAGCUUCAUCUUUCUUCUUCUUGGUUGGGCACCUUCGAUUUCGUCUGCAGGGAUCUUGGUAUAGAGCUUGAUGGGAAAUAGGGAAGAAAACACAUCUGCCAACCUACCAAUAUGAAAGGCAAAGAAACUCAAGACGAAGCUGGAUUGGAAAUUAUUUUGGUGUGAUUUGUGCUGUAAUUAUUUUGUAUUCGAAAAACAAUAAUGUAUGUCAGUCAGUGUUAAGAUAUGGAUAUUAGGUCAUUUGUAAUGUUCAUCCAAUUAAUGUGUUUUUGAAAUGUUGUAAUGUUGUAAUAUUUGUAAGACAUUUUGGAAUGUAACUUUGAAUGUUACUUACAAAAACAUGUUUAUAAUGUAAUUGUUUACAUUGCAUUC